AUGAUCUCCAGGCUCUGGAUGAAGGUUGGCGGCAGGCUUCGUCGGAUCGUCGGCGUUGGUGUGCACUACACCAGCGAAGAUGAACCUCCCCAGAUGGUAGCAGUCCUGCAGUUGUGCUUCGAGGAGCUCUGCUUGGUGUACCACAUCGCAGCGGCCACAAAAUGGCCCAAGCGCCUGAACGACAUGCUGCAGCAUGAGAGCUUGUUCAUGUUUGCCGGUUUUAGCAUUGAAAGCGACAAAGAGAAGCUGAAGAUGUCCGGUUUGGAGAUCAACCCCAACAAGUUCAUCGACAUUCAGCGCCUCUAG
rnacentral:rRNA from 1 species